AGUGAACGCUGGCGGUAGGCCUAACACAUGCAAGUCGAACGGCAGCACAGUAAGAGCUUGCUCUUACGGGUGGCGAGUGGCGGACGGGUGAGGAAUACAUCGGAAUCUACUUUUUCGUGGGGGAUAACGUAGGGAAACUUACGCUAAUACCGCAUCCGACCUACGGGUGAAAGCAGGGGAUCUUCGGACCUUGCGCGAUUGAAUGAGCCGAUGUCGGAUUAGCUAGUUGGCGGGGUAAAGGCCCACCAAGGCGACGAUCCGUAGCUGGUCUGAGAGGAUGAUCAGCCACAUUGGAACUGGGACACGGUCCAGACUCCUACGGGAGGCAGCAGUGGGGAAUAUUGGACAAUGGGCGCAAGCCUGAUCCAGCCAUACCGCGUGGGUGAAGAAGGCCUUCGGGUUGUAAAGCCCUUUUGUUGGGAAAGAAAAGCAGCAGGUUAAUACCCCGCUGUUCUGACGGUACCCAAAGAAUAAGCACCGGCUAACUUCGUG
rnacentral:rRNA from 1 species